ACAAUUCAUGAACGAACACUUUCUCAACUUUGUCAUUGUAAAAGACAACAGUAAAUUAAAUCGAUCUGCUACUACAGCAACAACAAUCAUAAGAUCGAGUGUGUUGAUUCGUCUUAUAGUAUAAAGAGCAGCUUGUACAAAGCCAGUGGUAUACAAUUUAAUUCAUCAAGUAUUUCAAAUGGGUUAAGCAGGUUCUCUGUAGUAGUGAUAAAGCUGAUCUUUAUGGUUUUAUUACCAGGGUGGUGGUUUCAUUUGUGUUUGGAGGAAGAGAGAAUUGCUCCAUUGGAAAUAAAAAAUUUCCUUUUACCAACCCAUUGUUAACGAAAGAUCGAGCGUGUUGAUUCGUCUUGUAGUAUAAAGAGCAGCUUGAACAAAGCCAGCGGUAUAUUUGUAUACAACCAAAAUUCCUCUAACUACCCAAACGGCGGCGAACACCUGCAAUCUUGGGGAAAAGAAGCCGGCAGUUGUAAUUGGGAAGGUAUUUCCAAUAGAGCAAUUCUCUGUUCCACCAAACACAAAUGAAACCUGGUAAUAAAACCAUGAACAUCAGCUUCAUCACUACUACAGAGAACUUGCUUAACCCAUUUGAAAUACUUGAUGAAUUAAAUUGUAUACCGCUGGCUUUGAGCACUGGAGGGCUGCUCUUUAUAGGAGGAGAGCGCAGUACUGUACCCUACAACCAGCGACGUUGCGCGUUCAUCAUUUAAUUCCACGCUAUCGACCAUGUGGUUUGGAUGGAAUUGGUCGUCGUCAUCACAUGAUUUUCCACGCAUAAUAAAGUCUUCUUUAUUUGGCUUAUUGUCCCAUUGAUGCUUCGAGGAAAUUCUCAGCAUUACAUCAUGCACAGUGCCAGCAGAAAGAUCAUCAAUUCAAUGGACGGUAACACAGGGGUCUCGCCCCCCUCUGUUACGUUCCUUUUACUUUUCACUUUGCCUUGGAAUGACAAUAAAAAAUAUCGGAAUAUCGAGAUUUAAUCCUGCAUUACUAAUUUUUUUUUUUUUUAUUAGAUCAUAAAAUAACUUUCUUAAAUUACUUAUAAGAACUAGAAAUAAUUAAGGGUUAUUUCUCAAACAAAAGAAAAGGUAGUGGCACCAUAAAUACACCAUGCCUAGUUUAGAAAUUUAUACAAGGAUUUAUGCAUAUUCAAGGUUGAUAAUGCAGUUUAACAAGAAAAAAAUAAGAAUUUGGUGGGUUUAUUUUUAUCAACUAAACUAAUAGAAAGAGUCGAAAUCUAGACGGAGGAAAUCACAAAUAAUUAUUGAAGUCACAAAACUUAAAAGACAAGUGAAAAUCAAUGACCCAACCAAAGUCAAGUCAACCGUGAAAACAACCUUUAAUCAUGUGACUUUUUACCUUUUCGAUGGUUUCAAUGGGCUUCUCAUAUGCGCAUGAAAAAUUGAAUUAGAACAUUUUAGUAACCGUGGAAGAUAAUAUCGACUUGUUUUAUCUAUUAAUUUAAAAUAAAAUUUAAAUUUUCACAUUACCAAGAAUGUUUUUAUUGAUGUUGAUAUUAAUAUUGAGGAACUAAAUAAUGCUUUGAUAACCAACGAACAUACAGAACCAACGGACAAAAAUACCAAGAAAAAUGUUAAAAAUAUUAAUAUUUAAUUAUUCAUUGAUAAAACUUUCAUUAAAAAAAAACCCAAAUAAAAACCAGAUUCCCUAAUAUCAUAAAAGACAAGCAUUUCUUCUUCUUAUCUCUUCCUCUUUUGUAAAAAUCAAAAACGUUUCUCUCUAACGGGUAAGUCAAAAACGUUUUACUUUUUUUUUAAUUAACAUAUUAUGUGAAUUUGUUUUUUUAUCUCUGCUCCACUUCACUCACAACAAAAUUAAAGUAGGAUUUUUCUUUUUUCUUUUUUCUUUUUUAUGUUUAUUUUGCAUUAUAUUUGUUUUUCUUUUUUUUUUGUUGAAUUUUUCUGUUCAAUGUUGUUGUUAGAAUUGUUUUCAUAUUAGAAUAGUUUUUUUUUUUUAAUGAAGAGAGUCGUGGUUUCUUCCCAUCUUCCAAGGUUCUUCAAUACGGUGAUCCUUUGUCCCCUUAUUUGUUUAUCCUGACUAUGAAGAAUUUAAAAGGUAUUUUUAAAGAGGCCUCACGGAACUCGAGGUCUUAUUAUCAUUGGCAGUGCCAACAUAAUAUCAUUACUCACUUGUGCUUUACUAAUGACCUUAUGAUCUAUUGUCAAGCAGAUAGAACUCAAUCAAGAUUGUGAGGAAGGCUUUGAAUUAUUUUGCAGGGUUGUUUGGUCUUGUUAUAAAUCCAAAGAAGAGCCCAAUUUUUUUAUCAGGAGUUAAUGAUAAGCUUAGGACAUCUUUACAAGAUCUUUUUGGUUUCAGGUUAGGUUCUCUGCCAAUAAGAUACCUAGUUGUUCUAUUGAUAUCUAUUAAACUAACUCACUCUGAUUAUAAGCCUUUAGUAGAGUGGAUUCUCUCCAAGAUUAAGUUGUGGACCAUAAUUUUAUUUUAUUUUUUUACUUGUAUUGGGUGUCUUCAACUAAUCAAAUCAUUUCUCUUCUCCAUCCAGGUUUAUUGAUCCUCCAUGUUUAUUCUCUAUUGCUCUAUUAUUAAGAGGAUUAAGGGUAUCUUGGUUGCCUUUCUUUAUAAAGGCUGCUUUAUCUCCCACUCAGGGGCUAAGGUGGCUCGGGUCUAUGUUUGAUGUCGCACAUCACUCGCGCGGUGUCGGCUGGCAAUUUUUUCGUUAUGCGUUGCUUUGAUUUGAUUGGUUUGUUAGGAGUCAUCACCUAAUAAUUUAUUAAAGGCUACUAGGAAACCGAAUGUACUGGUCUUGUCAGAGAUUCGCGAGUAAGGGACUGGUUGUGGUUAGGGAAGGUAUUAGCACCCAUAACGCACCCUACCUGAGGUAAGCUGCUUCGUGGCUUUGACGUGUUAAAGAAGUUUUAAAAUUUUUUUCUUUUCAUCGGGUAUCAGAAAUACAACUUACAUACAAGUUAAUAAUUCUUGACCGUGAUCCAAUCAACAUAUUAAUUUCUUCUUUAAUCUUUGCAAUUUUAUCAUAAAUAAAUAAAUAAAACAUCCAUAAAACAAAUACAAACACACACAUACACAUACACCUUUACUAUAUUUUUUCCUUUUUUUAUUUUCUUUUCUUUUACAUACACACUACAAAUUAUAAAAAAUUCAAAAAAAGCUAGACAAAAAUUAUAUUAAACAACUAAAAAAUUACAAAAACAACCCCUAAAACAUCCUUGAAUUGCUGGGAACGGUGCUGUGAAAACUCAUGGACAGCCGGAACAGUGGCGGCGCGUUGUUCCACGCGCCACCAUCACUAGCGGCGUGUGGGUUCACGCACAGCAGAAAAAAAAAACAGCAGGGGAGAUCUGAAGCGGCUUCCUUGCCAACGAUGACUGCUACCUCUACCUGCAACAAGAAACAUAAAAAAAGGCCAUAAACAGUUGAUUUUAGAUUUGUCUUUCUUUGUUUUUUAGAUCUGCAUUUCUCCCUUCUCCUUGUUCGGAUCUGCUUCACUGCAGGUCAGUUGUUAUGGGUUUCAUCUUCUUCUUCUCUGCUUUGGGUGGCAGAUCGGGCUGCGUUGUAGUGUCUCAGUCACAGUAGAAGGCUGGCCGAGCGUCGUCGCGUGGGGGCUGUCGUUGGAGGGCAGAUCUGCGAACACUGCUAGAGGGAGAAGGUUGGCCACUCCGAGUCUGUGGGUGAUGUUGCUGCUGACGGCGAAGACCGGGUGAGAGUAGAGGUCUGGUGAGGUGAGGGAGCGGCCGGCUAGAGAGGGAAAGAGGAAGCGACCUCGAGAGAGAGAGAGAGAGAUGGCUGUGGGGAAAAUAAGAGAGGGAGCCGAGGUUGGACUUGGGGAACGGCUAAGAUGGAGAUGAGGGGGGAACAGAGUGGCUACUCCAGUUUUAGGAGAGUGGGGUUGAGGGUGGCUUCUGUUUUUUCUCUUUUGCAAAACUGCGGGGAAAGUUGAGAGAGGAGUGUGGUGGCCGGAGAUAGGGCUGCUGUGUUUGGCCAAGGAUGGGAUUAUGGUCGGGUGUGUGGCCGAGAGGUUCUGUGCAAGGUGGAUGAGGUCAAUGGUUGGGUGUCUAUGGGUGAAGGAGAGGGAGGGGGCGCCGUUCCUUGAAAAAGAUGGGUUUAGGGUUAGGGUUUUCUUUUUUUCUAUUUUUUUUAAUGUUUCAAAAUUGCCCCCCUCUUUGUGUGUGUUGAAGACCAGUAUUUAUAGGCAAAAAUAUUGCUAGGUUUCCAAACUUGGUCCCUCAACUUCUUUCUUUUUGUAAAUUUGAUUUUUCUUAAUUUUUUGUAUUUUUUUAAAAACGAGCAAUAUCAACGUCGACUCGAUGAGGAAAAUCAAUGAUUUUAAAAAUAACACGUGAAAAGUUGAACGCGUUCGAAAGACUCUUAAAAAUUUAAAUUCUUUUUUAGACGACGUUGAAAAUACUAAAAUGAUGAAAAUAUAUUAAAAACAUAUUUUUUUGAAUUUUUAUUGUUUUUCUCUAUUUUUGAAUUUUUCUGAAAAUUUAUCAAAACAUGGAUCAAAAAUUAGGUAGCAACAUUUGAUAUCCCUUAAAAAGGGUGGCCUAAGAAUAAGGAGGGCUCAAACUUGAAAUGAAACAGUUAUUCUCAAGCAUGUCUAGCGACUACUAUCAGAUAGAUCAUCAGUUUGGUCAGGAUGGGUCCAUAAUGUUUUGCUCAAAGGCAGAUCUUUUGGGCAUGUCAUGCCUCCUUCAAUGUCUUCUUAGUCAUGGGGGAAGGUUUUAUUCAUCAAAGAUUGGUGUAAAAGGAAGUUUGUCUUCAAUAUUGGUAGUGAAACUACUACCUCUAUAUGGUUAGACUAUUAGUUACCAGAUGGGCAACGGUUAUGUGAUCUAGUGUAUUUUAGGGUGCUCGCUUAUACUGGGUUGUCAUGGAAUGCUAAGGUCUCAUACAUCAUUAAGAGGGAUACUUGGGUUUUUCCAUUGGGUAGUCUGGAGCUCCAGCCUGUAUAGGACUCGAUUACUUUUAACCCAAGAGUGUCUUACCAAAUCAUUAUGUCUGGAACGGUAACUCAUUGGGGGAGGUUCUUUAUUGACUCGGCAUGGGAGGUUCUUAAAGAUUCCAAACCCAUAGACUAUAUACACUAUCUUCUCUGGUUUUCAGGUUUCAACUUGUGACUCUCUUUUAUCAUGUUGUUUACCUUUAUAAGUUGUCUCAAUAUCAUGAAUAGACUACAUGCUUUUUAGAUCAUUCCCUCUUCGACAUGUAUCCUUUGUGGGUUACAGGUUGAAACACAUGAACAUUUAUUUUUUUAGUGUCCUUUCUCUGCUAUAGUUUAGGGUGUUAUCACGAAUAUGACCCUUAUGAGUUGGUCUUCUUUGACAUGACAUAAUUUGCUUUAGUAGGCAUACAAGCACUUGAAGAAAAAAAAAUAAAAAAGGACUUUACACAUUUACUUACUUGGCUAGCCUUUUGUACCUCUAUUUAUUUCAUUUAGUGUGAGAGAAAUAAUCAAGUUUUUCAUAAGAUUUAUUGAUCUCAUCAGGAUGUUUGCAAAGAUAUUUUUUAUUUGGUUCACUCCCGUUUGAUAGAGCUCGAACUAGGUUUUAUAUCCUAGCUACUUUCAGGUCCAUUUGGUGCCUCUAAAAGUUAUGAAAUAUAAUUACUCUUGCUAAUUUUAAGAUUUUAUUUAGCAUAAUUUUAUAUAUAAUCAAUCGAUCAUCUACAAGCAUUUAUACUUCUUGAGAUAUGCUCCUCGUGCUCUAUAUAGUUUCUUCCCUUUAAAACAACUUUUAUCCGAAAAUAAGAAAAGAAUUUUGUUUUGCUAUACAUUGCAAGUUUUAAUGUCUAUUUAAUAUGUAUGCUAUGAUUUUAUUUUGAUCAAGAUGAACUUAAUUAUAUAAAAAUGCAAGCAAUCUAAACUAAAUUAUAGAUCGAAAACAACAGUUAUCCAAUUCAAAAAAACCACUCAAAGAUUUGAGCUGAACCAUUACACUAAUGCAAAAUUAUUCAUCGAAGAAAUUUAGAAGUGCAUUUUCAAGGAAACCAAAAAUAAUGGAUACAUGAACCUUGUUCGGUAUACUUCUAGCUAAAACAGGAUAUCAAUCAUCGAUAACUAUCUUCCUCGAUUGCAUUUUAGCUGUCAUAUGGAGAGGAAAACUUUAUCAUCAUAACUAGUAUUAACAUGAAUUAGAUGACUGUUGAUUUCCUGGGUUGGCACUCAAACUUGCAACGCAUUGUGCAAAUUCUAAAAAAGUGAAUUUACAUAGCCGGAAUAUCUACCAUGUCAUGUGCUUCAGGAGAAUGGCUUCCCAUGGCCUCAACUUAUCAUAUUCCACUUCGAGCAGCUUAGUGAUUUGAAGUUUGAGGAAGCCUGAAAGAACCCCCAGCAUAAAGCAUCUCAUAGACAGGCCUUAUCCUCAUGGUUAGAAAAAUGCUCAAGAUGGAGCCCAAACCGCAGGCACCAGCAGGAGAUGCUUGAACUGGACAGCAAAUUUGGUACCUGCUGCUUUGCUGCCUCGUUAUCAUAUACAUAGCCUGCCAGGAGACCUGAGAAAAGGAACGCACCGAGAGGAUUUCCUAGUGACAUGAAGUUGUAAAAUAAACCAAAAUGCUUCAAGCCGAAAAGCUCAGAGACAGUCGGUAUCAUUAUCGAGAACUGAACUCCAUAGCAGAUCCCAAGUAAUGCUGUUGCGGCGUAAAGGAUACCAUCAAUUGCAGAAGCAAACAACAGGUACGUUAUGAUCAUCAUUACUUGAGUGCACGUCAUCCAUAUUGUCCGAGGGAUUGUUUUUGAUCUGCAAGGAAUAAAUGUCCAACACAUCAAAGUAAUACAACACCACAAAAAUAUUGUAGCCUGUGCAGUCUGUAUUCUUUUGGAACCGACAGUCAGACAAUUACAAUGGACUGAUAACGAAAUUUGAGGAUGUGCCAAAGACAAAAGCUCAUGGAAAUAGACAAGUAACAAUCAUAUGACAUUUUGGCAGAACAUGAGCUAUGCUUCUUAUGCAUAUGUUUUCUCCGUCUACGAGCAUCGAUAUCUGGAGCAUAUAACAGAAGAAAAACCGAUGCAACUUAAUUCUCAGAGGAUGCUCGCACUGUCCAAUAGAUGGAGUGACAGUAUUAUUCCUGGAACUAAGCCCCAUCAUGACACAAUUUGAGAAUGAAAAUCAUCUUGGCAUCCUUUGAUUUGGUUUUUCUGUGUUUUAUAUUUUGUUUAUAAAGUCACUGGCUCUAAGCCAAGACUUGCAUGGUUUAGAUGAUUUGGUUUUUUUAACCUUUUAAAUGUAAAUCAAUUAGGCAUCAAAAUGCAGAAAACUUCAUUGUAAUGAACUUAAUGAUUAGCCAAGAAGGAAAGGGUGUAGUAACCUGACAAAAUGUUCAGACACAAUACCCCCACCAAGACGCCCCACAAAAUUGCAAAAGCUGAAGAGCGACAACAAGAUGGUAGUAUCAUGCACGCCUUGUGCAAUUCCUAUCUGGGCCAGAUUAUUGAGCACCCGUUACCCCAGAUCCAACACCCACAAAGUACACAAAGAAAAGAAGCCAGAAAUCAGCCUUUAUUAGGGCUUCAGUAAAUCUGAAAUCCUCCCCUCUUUUCGGUCUCCUCUUCUUCUUCACAGCCCCUUCACCCUCAGCUAGAAGCAUAGCCACCUCAGAUGCCUCAACAUUUUCCCGAAAACUUCCGAGGGCUGUUGUUGAUGAAGAUGAUUUCAGCAGCGGUUCGGUUUUGUCUGCGUUGUCUUCUUGUAUCACACUGUCUGGAGUCUCAACUGGCUGGUGAUGCAUCUCUGGUUUACUGACUCUCAUGCGGUGAAAUGUCAUUUUUAUGGGUAUUGCAAAUGGAGCCAUGAGAAGGACAACCAUUAUAACAAGAAAGGUAUUAGAUACCGGGGCACUGAAAUGAAAUAUGUGAUUCAAUAUGGUGGUUGUUAGGACAUAUAAGCCGAGUACAAUAAGAGCUCCUUGAGUGAAAAGAAAAUGGGCGUGUUCUGAAGAGUCUUCACCUGAUGCAGGGGUACAAGCUCUUACAAAAUACAUGACUAUGAAACACAGAACAGGAAUUCCAAGUGCAAGAAACAUCAGAAGCUUAGAUGAGGAAUUGCGGAGCAGAGUACUAUAAAUUUCAGUAAAUACUGCAGCACUGAUUCCACCGUAACCUUUAAGAACACCAGCAACAGUGCCUCUACUAAGAGGAAAGUUUCUCAUGUUGGUUACAAGAACAGCUGUGCUCAACCAAGCACUACUAUUGGUGGCAACACAGAGAGCAAGGCAUAGCUGCAAUAUCGUAAAGUGAAAACAAAAAAUGUGACUUUAGUCCUUUUGCUGGAAAAUUUUAGAAUGAGCACAAUGAACAUAUAUGCCACUCAACCAAAUAAAAAUGAUGAAGAUUUUGAGAAAUUAAACAUGCAUUAACAGUAUCUGAGCACAGGACAUUUUCCACAAAUCACAAAGUAAACCACAUGAAGCAGCAACUAUAUCCAAAUUUGCAGAAAAUCUCACUCCUAUGCAUACAACAACGAAAAAACUUGUGAGUUUCUACAGCAAACAGUGAUUCGCCAUCCUCUAACACUGUAGUUUAUCAUAUCUGUCAUGAGCAAUAAUAUGGAAGCUGAUUUUACUAGACANNNNNNNNNNNNNNNNNNNNNNNNNNNNNNNNNNNNNNNNNNNNNNNNNNNNNNNNNNNNNNNNNNNNNNNNNNNNNNNNNNNNNNNNNNNNNNNNNNNNAAAAUACAAACACACACAUUCACAUUUCACUAUUUUGUUUCUUUUCCUUUCUUUUCUUUUUCUUUUCUUUUACAUCCACAACACAAAUACAAAUACAAAUACGAAUACAAAAUCAAAAUCAAAACAAAUAAAUAAAAAUUACAUUAAUUAAUUUAAAAAAUUACACAAUAGUCCCUAAAACUCCAAAAAUUGCAGGGAAGCCCAUCUGAAAAACAGAGGGGCCUGGAGCGGCUUCUUCUCCUCUUCCUUUCCUCACCGACGAUGAAGGUCACCGCCACUUGCAACAAGAGAAAAACUCACAAACAGUAGUUCGUUUUAAUUUUUUUCUUUCUGUUACAGAUCUGCUUCUCUUUGAUCUGCUUCUCUGCAGAUCGGUUCGCCCUUCUUCAGAUCGACUUUGCCCCGGGUCAGCCUCUACUUCGGGCGGCGUUGUUGGGGUUGCUGUUGCUGUCGUCCGUUCGGCGGCUUCGUUGUUAGUGGAGAUGAUGAGAUCGUCGGAGGACAAGCAGGCGACCGGCGAGAGGGGAGAGCUAAGGGGGACGGCGUGUGGCUGAGCUGGGGCCGAUGGUUUUGUUUCUUCGGUUUUGGGCGGGGAAGGGAGAGUCUGUGGGUGGUGGCUUGCUUCUGUGGAGGAGACACCGCUACAAGGCUAGUCGGGUGGAGAUGAAGAGGACAGCGAGGCUGCUGCUGGUGGCUUCGGUUCAGUGGAGGCCGGUCCGGCCGCUGGUCUGUGGGGAGGAGAAAAAUGGGGAAGAGGGCAGGGGCUGCUGUCGGUUAUGGAGAAGGCGAAUUAAGGGAAACGGUGAUGGGCAUGGAGGUCUGGUGGAGAUGGGGUCUUCGGGUGGCUGAGGAAAAGGCUGAGAGGGAGGAUCUGUGGAGGGGGAGUUGAUUCGGGGUUGUUGUGAUGCUGGGUUUCGGCGAGCUGGAGGUGGGGAACGGUUCGGUUUUGGAGGAGAAAGGAGAGGAUUUGUGUGGCUUAGGGUGCAAGCGUUGGAUUUGCUGGUCGAAGAGGAGCCGGCUGAGAAGGUCUGCUGUUGGGUCCGACAGCUGAGGAAGAAGAAAAUGGAAAAUCACCCUCUCUCCUUCGGGUGCAGGGGAGAAGAAGAAAAUCCCAAAGGGGCUGGGGACCGUGGGUCUCUGCCCACUGCUCUCGGGACCCGGCGAAAUGAAAAAUCCCCCCUAUGUUGCAUAGCUGGGGAUGAGAAGAAAUAGGGGUUCUCCUCAUGAGGAGAGCCUCCAUUGUCGGCUGGAAACAAGGAAAACAAGACCUGGGUGGGGGGCUGAGUCCCUGAUUUUCAGCUGAAAGAGGGGUCUUGGGCUAGGGGGAGCGGCUGGUUUCGGGUGAAGAAAAAAAAAUUCUUAGGUUGCCUCUCCCUCCAAUAUUCAAAAUUCUUUAUACAUAGGCAAAAAUACUAUUUCGGCCUCAAAAUUGGUCCCUUAACUUUCUUUUUUUUUUGUAAAUUUUGAUUUUUCUUAUUUUUUUAUAUUUUUUUGAAAACGAGCAAUAUCAACGUCGACUCAAUGAGGAAAAUCAAUGAUUUUUAAAAAUGACGCGUGAAAAGUUGAACGCGUUCAAAAGUCCCUUAAAAAAAAUUUAAAUUCUUUUUUUUUUAGACGACGUUGAAAAUGCUAAAAUGACACGAAUAUAUUAAAAACAUAUUUUUUUGGAUUUUCAUUUUUUUUCUCUAUUUUUGGAAUUUUUUGAAAAUAUAUCAAAAACAUGGGUCAAAAAAUGGGUAACAACACAACCCAUCAGCAUAAAGUGGACGACAAGCUGACAAAUUUAGCUAUGCAGUUAACCUGUAAAAAAGCAAUUGAAAUCCCAGUCGAAAUUUAACAUUACUAAGUACCCAAUAAGCACUCAAAAUCAAAGAAAACAAAAGCCUAAUUAUCUCAAUUUAGAAACAACUAACAUUAAAAAAAAUUACCAAAUUUAUUAACCAGUAAAGGGGUUCGAAGAAUGACCUGGAAGAUAACGAUAACAAGAAGGGCAAUAAGAAUGAAGAAGGCUAUCAGCCAAACAAAAAGAUCUCCCAUGCUCCUCCUUUACCCUCCCUGCUCUAAUGUUUUACUCUCUCUCUUCUCCCUUAAGUACUCUGCUUCGUUAGCUCAAGAAAAAGGUAGAGAUGGGUGCUUAUUAAUCACUCUGGCAUGCACAGGGGCUUUGGUUCUUCUCCUGUCUGAAAUGCCACAAUUCUUGUUCGGUUUUCCUUUGAUUUAUUACAGAGAGAAGUUGUGAAAGUAAAAAAAGCAAUUGCAAAUUGUCGAUGAUGAGAGAGAGUAGAAACGCAUGAAAAGCAAAAGAUAUUUGCUUUUCAUUUUUUACAACUGAACCGUGAUUUUUAAUGGGACCCACAUAGAAAUAAAUUGUGUUUUGAAGGUAACCAAACACAUGUUUUACUGCUUUCCUACAAACCGCAACCGCACCAGCUUAGCCAAACACCCACUAUAUAUUAGAAGUAAUGUUAGUAAGAAAAAAAAUCAUAAUUGAUUGUUAUGCAUUUAAAUAAUAAAUCUCAUUAUAAAAAUAUUGUAUUUUUACUUACAAAAAUAGUCCAUCCAAUAAAUAAAUAAAUAAAAAUGUAAGAAAAUAGUCCAUCCAAUAAAUAAAUAAACAAAACAUGUAACAUGAUGUUGUUACAUGUUUAAAGUGACACUCUCUUUAAAGUUCAAGCAACCACUUGUCUUUGAUCAUUAAAGUGUUACAGCUUUCAGGAACUCAUCAGGAAAAAAAAAAAAAACGAGGACCUCUUUAGUUUUUACAGACUGCUGGUUCCACGAAGGAACGCAUGCAGAAAUCAAAUGGGGUUGACUACAAGAAAUGAAGAGUGACAGAGCCAUUUGCUUCGACUCCAUUGAUAAAAAUUUGUUGCUUUCGAUGGCUUUUCUUCGAUUUGCUUCGACUCCAUUGAUCAAAAUUCGCUGCUUUCGAUGGCUUUAAUUUCUUCUUUUUCUACAGAUUGAUACAUGGAGUGUGCUAAAGCCAUUAAAGGUGGUAACUGGGAUGUUGCAGAUUCACUUUUGGCAGAAAUUCGAUCUCUAGCUCCUAAAGAAGAGAGCAUAUCGACGAGGAUGUUGGUGGAAGAAACCACUGGUGGUGGCUUUGAAACACUCGGAGAGGAUAAAACAUAAGGUUUUAUUACAAAAACAGAAGCUUAACAAAUACAACAAAAGCUUUACAAUACACACCCUCUCUCUCUCUAUAUCUAGUGUUUCUUUCUUCUCUCCACACAUAAUAACCUUAGCUUAGAUGCCUAUUUAUACACAAAUUCAGUCAGCUCAAAAUUCAACGGUCAUGGUGUGAAAGCGGUUGGCGGUCGAUGGUGUGAAUGCGGUUAGGCGGUGGCAGCUGGGGGCUGGGGGCUGGGGGCUGGCGGCUGGUCGGUGACAGCUGGGGGCCGGUGAGGCGGUGGUUGCCUUCCUUGACCUUCUGGAUAUUCUGGAUAUUGAGUUUAAACAAAUCUCCCCCUUAAACUCAAUUGAGGGAUGUCAUGCCAAACAUGAAUACUUCUCCCUUCAACGCCUUCUCUCUACUUGUAGCCUUUAUCCACUAAUUUGGCUUUCGUCUUGUAGACCCAUUUGACACCUAUUGCUUUCUUCUUUUCUGGUGGAUAAGUCAGCUUUCAGGUAUCUUUCUUCUCAAUGGCAUGUAUUUCUUCAUCCAUUGCUUUAAUCCAUUUCACUUCUGUGACAGCUUCAUUGAAACUUAAUGGGUCACUAUCUGCAUGGAGACAAAAUAGAGUUGUAUCUUCCAUGACUUGAGUAGCAUCGUACAACUCUUCAAGAUUCCCCAUCCUUCUUGGUCCUUCUGAUGAGGAUGAUGAUGAUGGUGUUGAUGAUGAUGAUCCUGGUGUGUUCCUCCUGUUGAAUACAGGGAAUCUGUGUACCGGACUUUGUGGUUCAGCUGCUGGUAUAACACCGGACUUUGUGGUUCAGCUGCUGGCACAAUCGGUUCUUCGUACAAUUGUUCUUCUGCAAGUACUGUUGGUACUUCUUCACCUUCAAGGAUCAAAUCAGUUGAUCCAUUUGACUGCUUCUUGAUCACCAUUCCAUCCCAAGAUUUAUCUUCUUCAAAGAUAACAUCUCUACUCGUAAUCACCUUCUUCGUGAUGGGAUUAUACAGCCUGUAUCCCAUCCUUCUUUCACCAUAUCCGACAAAGAUGCAUUUCUCGCUCUUAUCAUCGAGCUUUCUCCUUCUUGCAUCUGGGAUCUUUGCAUAUGCCACACAACCAAAGACUCGUAGAUGAGUAACACUUGGUUUGUGACCACUCCAUGCUUCUUCUGGAGGACUCCUUGCAAACUUCUGGUUGGGCAGCGAUUCAGUAUACACUGCACAUGAUACAGCUUCAGCCCAGUAUUGCUUGGGCAACUUCUUUGCUUUGAGCACUUCUGCCAUGUCAAGAAUCGUGCGAUUCUUCCUUUCUGCUACACCAUUCAGCUGUGGUGUAUAAGCUGGCGCGUUGUCUGAUGUCUGAUGCCUUGUUGUGUACAAAGGCUUCAAAGUCAUUUGCUGUAUAUUCUCCACCUUGAUCAGAUCUUACGGUUCUGAUCGUGUAACCAGUUUGCUUCUCCACAAUUGCUUUAAAAUCUUUAAAACAAUUGAAUACUUCUGACUUCCUCUUCAGAAAGUAUAUCCACGUCUUUCUACUAAAAUCAGUAAAAGUGAGGAAGUACCUAUUUUGUCCAGUCGACAUAGGCGUAAUUGGGCCACACACAUCUGUGUGUACUAACUCCAGUGGCCUCUUUGCUCUCCAGUUGACUUCUUUGGCAAAACUGGAUCUGUGAUGUUUGCAAACCUUUGACCAUCUUCUUGCUUGCUAGCAUCUUCAACUCGUGAAAUUCAGAUGUCCAAGCCUCAGGUGCCAAAGCCAUUCUUCACUGUUGGUGAUGGCGCUCAAACACCUUGUUGCAUCAUACUGGAUGUUCAAAGGAAACAUCCUAUUCUUGGACAUUUUCACAUAGGCAAUUAGUCUCCCAUUGUUGUCUCUAAUUGUCAGAUGACAAUUCUUCAAGUAAAGAGUAUAGCCUCUCUCUAUAAGUUGACCUAUGCUGAUCAAGUUCUGCUUUAUGGCUGGGACAUAAUAAACAUCAGCGAUGUGGCUGUUAUCGCCAUUCUUCAACUUGAUUGGGAUGUUGCCUUUACCUUUGAAUGGAACCUUUGAGGUAUCUCCAAAAGUAACUAGACCUUGUUUGGUCUCAUCUAGAUCACCAAAUAACUCUCGGUGGCCGCACAUGUGAUUGCUGGCUCCAGAAUCUAGAUACCAUACAUUCUUUUGUUUCUCACCAUGUCCUUGUUAGACAAAUAAUGCAGCUACUCCUCUGUCAUCAUUCUCUGCAUAGUUGGCUUGCUCACGUAUCUCUAACGGAGCUUUCCUUCGGCAUUCAGUGCUAUAGUGCCCAAAUUGAUUGCAACUAUAACAUUUCAUAUUUCUCUUGUCACGGUUAUUGUAACCGCCUCCUCUUUCUCUAGGAGUGAAUGCUUGUUGUCCUCGACCUCCUCUGGUGGUGUUUCUACCACCUAUUCCUCUGAAGCUUGUAUUCCAAGAUCCUCUUCCUUGGAAUCUUUGAAAUCCUCCUCUGGAUUGUUGACUUCUUUCUUGAGUGGGAUAUCGACUUGUUGAAGUCUCCCCUUGCUCAUAUCUGUUCUUGAGAGACAACUUUGUUUGUAAGGCAUGUUCGAUGGCCUUAUCUCCAUUUCGCUUUACAAUUUUCUGCUCAUGGGCUUGCAAAGAACUCAUAAGUUCAUCCACUGUCAACUUGUCCACAUCUUUGGACUCUUCAAUUGCGACAACAACAAAAUCAAAUUUUAGAUCUAGGGAUCUCAAAAUUUUCUCAGUAAUUCGAGUGUCGCACGUGUGCGGCGGCGCGGCGAUCGUCCACCCCAACCCUUCAUGAGGGUGUAGUAUGUGUCUAUCUGGCAUGGAAAAUAUGGUGAGACAAGGAGUUCUUUGUCUCUAAAAAAAUGGAUCGGGAGUCGCCACCUAGUAUUCUGGUUACUAGGAACCCUUACUGGUCUUGAGAGAUCAGGUACGGAGACUGGUUGCGUAAAGGGAAGGUGUUAGCACCCCAACUACGCCCUACCUAAGGUAGGCUGCAUUGUUUUGUCUAAUAAAACCUAAGUCAUGUUAUGGUUUCCUAUUGUCCAAAAUAUGCAUUACAUGUAAUGUCAUACCCCGGGUUCUAUUGUCCAAACAAAAAAAAAAGAAUUAAAUAUCCGGAAUACGCAUUACGUGUAAUAUCAUACCCCAGGUUUUAUUGUCCAAAAAUAAAAAUUAAAUAUCCGGAAUAUGCAUUACGUGUAAUGUCAUACCCCAGGUUUUAUUGUCCAAAAAAUAAAAUUUUUGUUGUUUUUGAAAUAUUGGCCAAUAUUCUCUUGACUUUAAUAAACUGGUUAUUAAAGCCAAAAUGCAUGCUAAAACAUUUUUUUUUUUUUUGUGUAUUAAAAAUACAAUAUAAAUUUUUAGCUUUGAGACACUUGGCCGUAUGCACAAAAACAUUUUUUUCUUUUUUUUUUUUUUUUUUUUGUAUCUUGUGGAAAAAAUUUUUUUGACGAAAACCGGGAAUUUAAAAAUCAGAUUUUUUGUAUUUUUAACAACAUAAAAAACAUAUCACCCAAUAUUAAUCAAAAUGACAUAAAAAUUACGCGGAAAAAUUAUAAAUGAAACAAAUAUUUUUUGAUUUUUUUUUUUUGAAUGGGCGGGUGAACAGUACCGUAUGAACAGUACCACGGAACGAAAACGGGGUAUUUUAAUACCGGAUUUAUAUUUUUUCCCAACAAAAAAAAAAUGUUGCUUGAUAUUAAUCAAAAAUCCACGGGAAACUUGUAAAAUUACAAAAAAAACAAAAAUAAAACCAAUUUAAUUAACAAAAAUAAAUAAAUAAAAACUGGGCCGGAUCUAGCCCAUCCAUCCUGGGAUGGGCCUGACCCGGCCCAUAUACUGUGGGCUGGACUCAGCCCAGCCGCGUGGGCUGGGCUGAUGUUCCAGCCCACCAACCAAAAGGCUGGUUACUGUGUUAGCCACACAGUAACCAGCAAAUAAUAAGGUAGUUACUGUGCCCAGCACAGUAACUACCGAAUUAUUUUCAUUCUUUGCUGCAGAACGUGAUUCACGUUCUGCAUGCAAAGAAUGAAAACAAACCACUGAAUGUAUAAACGAAAGGCAACAGGGGGAAGACGAGUACCUGGAACGGUGGCGACGCUGGCGGCAGUGGAGGCGGCAGCGGCGGUGUAGUCGGCGGCUGUCCUCUUUCUUUCUCUCCUCUGUUUCUGUUCAUCGUCACCUUGGGUCAGUUUUUUUUCGUUGUUCCCUCUCUCUGUUCUGCUACUCUUCUUCCUCUGUCUUCUUCUUCAGUUUCAUUCAUCUCUUCUACAAGCCCUCUCUCACGUUGUUCUCAGCUUUCUUCUCCCUUUCGGUCCCUCUCCAAAAGCUUGGUUCUCUCUCUCUCCCUCACGGUUUUCUUUCAAUAAUCUGUCAGCUCUCCCCUCUGUUUUUCUCUUCUUUUUUUCUUUUUUUUUCCCUGCUGUUCUUCCUCCAUUUAUAGCCCGUGAGCAUGUGUUUUUUUCUUCUCAUCAUGGGGUCAUACGGCGGCUGGUCGGGCGUGGCUGUCCAGGCGUGCCUCCCUCAGUUUCGGCGGUGCGGUAGGUGGUCGGCCAAUCGGUGGGCUGGAGGGACCAACGCCAUAAAAUAUACAUUCUUUUUUUUUCCUUCUUUACUGCUGUAUGUUAGGCGGGGAAGAAAGGGGAACAGUGCCGUUCAAAACGGCGCCGUUUAGCCCUUUUCUGUUUUUUUUUUUUUUUUUUAAAGUAUGAAACGGCGUCGUUUUGGAUAAAACGCGCCGUUUCAUUUAAAAAUGGCGCCAGAACGCGCUAAAUUCCAAAUCAGCCCUCAAUCAUCUUUUUCUUUUCAAUUGCGUCCCUACCAAUUUCGGUCCCUGACCCCAUAGUUGGCUGCGUUUUUCACUUUGGUCCUUGGCCUCUGAUUUAUGCAAUUUAACCCUUAAUUGAUCAAUAAACUUCUAAUUUCUUCAAUUAGGCCCCUGAAUCAAUUCAAUACAGCUCCCUCUAUAUUCGCGCCUUUUCCAAAUUGGUCCCUGCUUUCGGAUUUUCGCAAUUAAACCCCUAAUUGGCCAUUAAACUUCAAAAUUCAUGCAAUUAAGCCCCUGAUUUGGCCUAAUAAAUUCCUAAAAAAUAUAUUUUGGCCCCAGAACUUAAAUUUCUUCUAAUUAAAGCCCAAAUUGAUUUCAAAAUCAAUUUUUCUCGCAAUCAAAACCCCUAAAAAUCCCAUUAAAAAUCCAAUCAUGUCCAUAAACCUCCAAAUUUAGGCUUUUUCCUCAAAAAUUUAAAUUUUCCUUCUAAAUAGGGCUCUCAUCCUUCAAGAAUAAACUGCCAAAAAUCCAAUCUUUGUAUUUUUAACCUCCUGGACCAAUUUUCUGACCAUUUUCUGAGCGCUUCCCCCCUUGUUAUUUUUCUAACCUCCUUUGGCUAUUUAUUUUUUAUUUUUUUUUUAUUAUUAUUAUUUUUUUUUUGCGGGGACCCAAAAAUGGGUUACAACAUCGAGAAUCUAUGAUGGCUUCUCCAUUUCUCCUUAUCUGAUUGACUAUCACCAUAAUCCUUGUGUGAUAAUCAGAAAUAGAUUCUGAGGACUUCAUUUGCAAUAAUUCAAAUUCUCCUCGUAAAGAUUGAAGAAGAAUCUUCUUGAUUCUAUCAGCACCUUUGUAUUUUUAUUGGAGAGCCUCUCAUUUAUCUUUUGAUGUUUCAGCGGAAGCUAUGAUUUCGAACGUAUCUUCAUCAAGACCUUGGUAGAUGAUGGUCUUUGCUUUGUUGUCCUUCUUUCUGUUGACUUUCAGGGCUUGCUUUUGUGCCUCUUGUAAAGCAUCUUCUGCUUCUUUGGACUCUGGUUCAUCAUAAUCAUGUUGUACAAUAUCCAAACACUCUUGUGAACCAAGGAAUGCCUUCUAUAUGAUGCACCAACUAUCAUAGUUGUCUUUGGUCAGCUUCGGGAUGAGUGUUUGUGUACUUUCUGUAGUCAUUUUGCUCUUUUAAUGCCUAUAUCGACUUCUAGGAGCCGAAUUUGACUAAACGGACACUGUAGAUCGAUCCGGAAUGGUCCAAAUAGUAAGGAACCGGUCUUACUUUGCAAAAAUCAGGUCAGAAUAUGGGUGAACCAGUCAAAACACCGAUUCUGUACGGGGGGCGGUUCGCUGGGUUGAACCGGGAAUAUUCUGUGGAAUAUUCUGUCGGCACCGGGAAUAUUUUGUCGACGCGCUGACGGCUGGGAAAACAGCACACGUACGGAGAGGCUUGGCGGCUCGGCUCAACUCGUACGGAGCGGCUUGGACGCUCGGCUGGACGACUCGGCUCGGCGCGGCUGGAUGGAGGCUCGGCUAACGGCUCGGCUUAGGAGGCUUAACGGCUGGAAUAUGGCGCGCGUGGACGUCACUCGUCGUCUUCCUCUGGUGCGCGUGGGCGACAGUCACCGGAUCUUCAGGCGGCGCGUGUGGCUCACCACGGGCUCCGAUCAGGCUAUUCUUUGCACCAGUGUGUUGAUCUUGAUGAGCUCUACACUGUGGAAUGAUCAAAACUUGUUUUUGACAGCUUUGAAAAUUUGGAUAUACCCCAAAAACACUCUUGUUUUCUGACGAACGAGGCUCUUAUACCAAUUGUUGGUGGGAGAAACCACUGGUGGUGGCUUUGAAACACUUAGAGGGGAUAAAACACGAAGUUUUAUUACAAAAAACAGAAGCUUAACAAUAACAAUAAAGGUUUACAAUAAACGCCCUCUCUCUAUAUAUAUAUAUCUAGUGUUUUUCUCUUCUCUCCACACUUAUAAUAACCUUAGCUUAGAUGCCUAUUUAUACACAAAUUCAGUCGGCUCAAAAUUCAACCGUCAUGGUGUGAAAGCGGUUGGUGGUCGAUGGUGUGAAUGCGGCUAGGCGGUGGCAGCUGGUGGCUGGCGGCUGGUCGGUGACAGCUGGUGGCCGGUGAGGCGGUGGUUGCCUUCCUUGACCUUCUGGAUAUUCUGGAUAUUGAGUUUAAUAUUCAACAGAGGAAAGUUGUCAAUUAAUAUUGUGCUGAGGCUCUUGCCCGGCGUGCGUGUCUGUACAUGGAGUUCGUCCUCCAUGGAUCCUUUACCCUUGCUACCUCCAUGCGAUCCAUCCGAUUACAUAUAUUAUCCUUUCGACCGGUUUGCUAAAAUCACUAGAUAUUUCGUUGUUGAUGCCUUGAGUUCGGGAAAUAAAGGACUCCACAUUAUUGACUUCUCCUCCAUCAUGUUUGAUCCUGGGCGGUGGAUUUAUUAAUUAAUUGAAGAGCUCGAAGGCCAAUAUGCAUGGUGGCCUGCAAUCACUCAUAAUCAAAUAAAGGUUUUUAUCCCAUUAGUAUUAGCUCAAACAUGUAAUUAACAUAUACACAAGUGAUCCUUGCAUUUUUAACCUUUAAAAGUGGAUGAAAUCUGGAGAGAAAAAAGAACCAUGCCUCUCUUCUCCAUAGAUAUGAGGGUAACGUGGGAGGGUCAUGGUGGAAGAAGAGGUCUGCCUGGUUGCUUCUAUAUGUCGUAACCCUAAAAAUAGUAUUAGAUUCAUUUGGUUAAAUUCUUGUUCACAUGUGAUAUUGUUCACGUAUACAGUAUUGUUCACAUAUAUGGAAAGUCAAUAGAUAUGGUCUAGGAAGUUAUAUCUAAGACUAUUAAAUUUUAAACGGGUCCAUUGUGACCUCUCCAUUCUUUUUAUGGAAACUUACUUAGUGAAAGUAGUGUUCACAAUACUAUUUUAAUAUACGUUAUAGUUUUUAAGUGAAAUAGUGAUAGUUGAACAAAUUAUAGUGAGUAAAAUGACAACAAAAUAUGAGAUUAAGAGUUUUAAUAGGAGCAAUGUCUCACAAUGACAGAUAAGAAUGAAGGCAAUUUUAAGGGGGAAAAAUUGCUUGACAACAAUUGGAGAAAGGCCCAAAGAGAUCAUUGAUAAUGCUGAGUGGAUUGAAAUGGAUAUCAAUGUUAUUACUAAUAUGCAUUUAGCAUUAGCCAAUAAUGUAUUAUCAAGUCCGGUGAAGAAGAAAACAACAAAAAAAAAAUUAGAUACUCUAAUAAAGUUAUAUGAGUCUAAGUCUCUAUACAAAAUGAUUUUAUUAAAAAUAAGACUUUAUACCCUUCAAAGGAAAGAAAUCACAUUGGUGAUUAACCACAUCAAUACAAUAAGAACUUAAUUUUCUUAACUCACUAUGUUGGGUCAACAAAUAAUGAAAAAUAAACAUCAAAAACUUCUACUUCAAAAUCUUUUUAAUUUGCAUGAUCAACUCAUUAUCAAUUUGUGUGAUGAAUAAAUACAGUCUAAGAAGCUUUGUCUAAAGAGAUUGAGCUUUAAAUGAGACUAUUUAUAUCCCCUCCAAUCUUUCAUUGAAACUUACUUAGUGGAAGUAUUGUUCACGCGAUAUUAUUUUUGUAUACAAUACAAUUCGUAAGUACAAAAAUGAUAGUUGAACAAAUUACAGUGAACAAAAUAAAAGCAAAAUAUAAAUUGAGAUGUUCAGUUAGAGCAAUUUCUCACUAUAAAAGAUGAGUGAAGGAAAAUUUAAGAAAAGAUAAUUGUUUGGUAGCAAUUAAAGAUAAAGCCAUGGAGAUCACUGAUAUUGCCAAGUAGAUCAAAGUUGAUAGCAAUGUUAUUGCUGAUACACAUUUAGCAUUAGCCAAUGAAGUAUUAUCAAAUGUAUAAGAGAAGAAAACUACAAAAGAGAUAUGUGAGACUCUGAUAAAGUUAUAUGAAUCCAAGUGUUUACAUAAUAAGAUUUUCUUAAAAAUGAGACUUUAUACCCUUUAAAUGAUAGAAAUCAUGUCGAUGACCAGCCACAUCAACAUAUAAGAACAUGCAGAGCUUCUACUUCAAAGUCCUUUUGAUUCGUAUGAUUAAUUCAUUAUCAACUUGACCAAUAACAUCUCAUGACUAUCUAGUCUUUGAUGAUGUUGCAAUUAUCUUUGAAGUAAAAAAUAGGUGUAAGAACAAAUGAGAUAGAAUUAAUACUUCAAAAAAAAUAAAGGCAUUAUUGAUGUCAAAAGAAAGAUCAAUGAAGUGUGGCUCCAAUAGGAGUCAAAGACAAGGAAAUUCCAAACCAAGAAGUAAGAAUACCAUGAAAUGCUACAACCAUGGCAAAAAAUGCACUUUUGGUAUGUAAAAUGUAUAAAGAAUACCCUGGAUUCAUCAAAACCUUAUGGAUGUGUUGCAAACACUUUGAAUGAUGAGGAAAUUUUAUAUAGCAAAGCAGUAAUAAUCUCUAUAAACAAAAAUAAGUUUACAGAGAUUUGCUUAAUGGAUUUGAGAGCAAGCAUAGGCUAGAAAUACUCAAGCUUGCAAGAAAGGAUGUUGGGGGGGAGGUCCACAUGGCCUCUCUAAGUUCAUUAUGGCAAUCAACAAGACCAAGAAGAGCAUCCAGAAGUGUAUCAAUAAGUUGGUUUUUCAUCGGGAUUGUGCAGCAUUUAAGGCUGAACUAGAGCCAGAGCUAGCUAGAUAUCAAGGACAGUGGAGAAGAGGAGCAUUGACAAGGAAGUACAGGAGUGAGAAGGAGUUGAUCAAAGUAGAGCAGCCUCAAAUACUCAAGAUCAGGAGACAAGCAAAAUCUGGUCCUUUGGAUACUAGGAUGCAAGAGAAUUUGAUGCAUGCCAGUAGAUGCUUGAAGCUGUCUGGUCCUCUGGAUGGGAAAGUGCAGGAGAGAUUGGUGUUUGCUUACAGGAGCCCAAAAUUAUAUGGGACUCCAGAUGGAAGGGUGCCACAAAGUUUGAUGAUGACUAAUAGGAGCCCGCAAGUACAUGGAUAUGAUUAAGGUUUCCAAUUUCCGGAGGAAUCUCACCUGUCAAAUUGUUGCAAGAGAGAUCCAUUCCAGACAUGAUGGGCCAAAUGCUUAUCGGGUAAGAAUAGGAUACACUCUUUGUUGUAAUCUCUAAAGGCUCUCGAAUCAAAUACCUAUCAGGAUAUAUUCUAAGAUAGCUGUACCAAAUACUGCUUCUAAAUCUUAGACAAGGGAGGAUAUGACCAGAAAACUUAUUAUGAGAAAGAUCAAUGAAACUCAAUUUGUCCAACUGGCACAACUGGAUGGGUAUUCUGCCUUCAAGGUUAUUAUAACCCAAGAGAAGAAAGCUCAUGUGGGAAAACUCACCAAUCCAUUCCGAAAUGUUGCCAGUCAAUUGAUUAUGGCUAAGAUCCAAUGUAAUUAGCUCGAAGGAGUUAUGAAAUGCAUCCUCCAAAGACCCCUGUAAUUUAUUUUGUGACAAAUAAACAUGAACUAGUGGCAAAGAGCUAAAACAAAAUGGCAGCUUUCCAGAGAUGUUGUUUUCUGAGAGAUCCAAAACUUGAAGAGAAGACAUAUUGCCAAACGAAGAGGGAAUGCUACCGUUGAAGUGGUUUUUAGACAUGGAUAAAAAUGUCAAACUUGGGAAAUAUGCUCCAAUUUCUGUUGGGAUGUAGCUGUCCAAGUGAUUGUCAGAAAUAUCUAAUUGUGACAAACUCACAUGGGGAUGAAUUGGCAACUGGAAAGGUCCUGAAAGAGAAUUGUUGACCAGGAAAAGUUCAUGUAGGUUUGUGUUGUUCUCUAGCAACCAAUUUGGAACCCCUCCCCUCAUUUUCAUGUUAGAAAAAUAAAUUUCCUGCAAGUUGUGUUGAUAGAAGAGGAAUUUGGGAAAGGGCAAUGCUCCAGUACCAUAUGCUUGACCAGAUAAAUGAAGUCUCUCUAGUUGGAACUUUGGGAUCAAAUUGUGCUCCUUUAGCUCUGCACAGAUUUCAUUAUUAUAACCAAAGAAGAAUUUGAGUUCCGAAUGGUUGAAAAAUGACCUCAAUGAGAUGGGGAUUUGAAAGCGAUUGUCCGAAAGUCUUAAUUCUCGGAUGGAUGUCAGAGUUGUAAGAGGAGACGAGGAAAUAUCACCCACAAAGUAAUUGGAAGAGAGAUCUAUUUGUUUCAGGGAUGUCAAAUUUGCCAAACAAUUAGGCAAGACACCGCUGAGAUUAUUAUUGCUGAUAUCAAGACUUUGAAGAUACUUCAACUCGCAUAGACCUGAGAAUUAUCAAUUUACAAAAUAUUUAACAUGAGAAAAAGAGAGAGAGAGAGAUCAGAAAGGACCAUCAGACUUACCCUCGGCUAUAGGUAUGUUGCCACUGAGUCUACAACCAUUCAACUUUAAACUCUUCAGAGUGGUAAUCCUUCCUAUUGUUUGCAGAAAGCUAUUAUCAAGAGUAGAGGAACUCAAAUCCAACUUUUGCAAAUUCUUGAGAGAAGGCAAGGCUACGAUAAAACAAACCGACAAGAAGUGAUUAGUAUAUUUUGAAGAGGAUAAAGUAAGGGAUACCAAUUAGGAGAAGCUCAAGUCUCUAUAGCCAAAUUAGACAUCAGUACAUAUUGCAACUCACCUUGAGCUAAUAUUGUUCCUUCGAAAUUAUUGUUCCCCAGAUCAAGUGUCUUGAGGUUUGGGAGUUUUGCCAAUGAUUGCAGUAAUGGAAGUGAAAUUCUUCUACCAUUUGCGGUGAUAUUAAGUAAACAAACUCUGCUUAGAUUUCCGAAACCUCUAAUACCUGCAAGAGAACAAGUUUCAAACCUUACGAGCAAAUCAAAAUCGUCCUUACUGCAUGGAAUCUUGGGUAAAAAGUUAGGUAGAUCGAUCGAUCCGUGAAGCCACCAUCGUUCAUGUGGAAUAUUUAAGUAAUACCUUCUGAGAACACAAACUCGUCAAUCUCAUUUCCGCUGAGAUACAGCUUCCUCAAGUUGCUCAAAGCUUCCAAUUCUAGGUUGCAGGAAAAUAGAACUGAUUAGGUCACAGCAAAGCCUUGGAACUCAUUUUUUGAAAUGGAAUAACGUGUGAGCAAUAAUUGGUUUAUAAACCUUUCAUGUUGAAUGUUCCUUUCAGAUGGUUCUUUGCCAGAUCGAGAUUCUUGAGAGAUGAAAGACCCUUGAAGGAUGAUAAGAUACUGUUAUCAAAGCGAUUACCUCCCAAAUCAAGAUACUCCAAAUUGCUCAGUUUCAGCACUUCAUCCUCACCACCUGUAAGAAAUAAUUGUACAAGGUUUGAUGUAAAAAUAGCGAAACAGUGAAAAGAUAAUGCAUAACUCAAAAAUCUUUCAUACCAUGAAGGGAUUUAAACCCUUCAAUGUGAUUGCUCUCAAUACGCAGAUUCCUUAAGUUUGUCAGAUUAUUCAAUCCUGGCAAUACGUAGAACAUAAAUUAAUGCUAUAUAUAAUUGCUUUGGAAUCAUGAUUGUGUUUGAGACAAUUAGUUUAAAAACUGAGAUGAGAAGAGCCAGGCUCACCUUCCACGCUAAUUGUUCCUUCGAUUUCAUUAUCGUGUAGAGAUAAAUAUUUCAAAGAUGAAAGACCACCUAAGGAUGAAAAGAUGCUGCUGUUGAAUUUGUUUUGCCCUAACUGGAGUAUCUCCAAAUUUCGACAACUCGAUGUGUGCUGGAGUUGCAGUGGACUUGUUUCCAUUCGCAGCAGUUAGCAAUAGCAUCUCUUUCCCAGGAGAGCAGGAAUCCGCCAUUUGGGUAACUAAAGGCAUCUUUGAUUUGCAAGAGAGCAAGUCUUUCUUCCUCCAAGCAACCAUGGCACCGCCACCCUUGUAUUAAAACCACCAAAUUUAUAAUCAUUAUCACUGCUAAACACAGCCUGUUCAACUCCAUUUGAAGAACUUUGCUAUUAGUAAAUUCUCAGAAAAAAAAUACAAAAUACACCUCUGUCGCCAUAGAAAGUAACUGUCAGAGGUUCUCUUAUAGGAUAGGAUAGCGCAAAGCUUACGUUUUUACAAGACCACGGUGUAGAGAAAUUAACGAGAAUCACUCCGCGUAAUGUUCAACAGAUUUUCUUUUUAUUGUUUAUUUUUUAUUUUUACUUUCAAGUACGUAUGCAUAAGAUCUACUUUGUUUGACUUCUCAUUUAUUGGUUUCAGACUUGGCAUGCGUUUUCUUUAAGAAAAAGAGGAAAAAUUAGAUAUAUGCCACUAUUAACAGCUUUCUUUUCUUUUGUCUUAGCAGGUGCGAGCCAUCAUCAGGUCAAGCGAUGAAUGAAUACAGCAACCUUCUUCUUUGUCAUAGCGUGUAAUUUUCCACAUCCACUAACAAGACUGACAGCCACUGCCUUAUUCUCGGCCGUAGGGAACACGUCGCGCGCGGUGACCAGUUCUUCUGUUUCUUGUAAAAAGUAAGAGUAAAAUGCAAGAUUUUUCGUGUUCUUCAGCAGUCCCCAGAUCUUGGGGUCAGGGUUUCAUUAAUCCACCUGUGGGUUCUAUUAUUAUAGCUUGUUGGCAAAUUGGUUUCUCUGUUUUUUUUUUCCUUUGACAAUUGGGUUGGGCCGAGACAUGCAAUGUCUUCUCUUUUUUUCCCUUCGGAAGUUCGGGCUGGGCGGAGACAUGCAAUGUCUGUUUCUUUUACUUUGGAUACUUGGGCUGGGCCAUCUCAAAUCAUUUGGAAGCCCAUGAAUAUCAUCUUAACUCUCCAUAUUUUCGACCGCAUUUGCAAGUCUUUUCAUCUCUUUCUAUGGCCUCAUAAAAGUUCAUGAUACAUAACCUGCUAAUUUCAAAUCCCAGAUCUGUAAGGCUCUGUUUGUUUGUAAAAAAAUAAUUUUUUUAAAAAAAUAAUUUUUUUAAAAAAGUAAAUUUUAAGAAAAUAAAGUAUUUUCUGAUGUUCGGUAAUGUAAUGAAAAUAAGUUGGAAAACACUUUUCCAGUAUUUGGUUAUGUUAUGGAAAAUGAGCUGGAAAAUAAUUUAUUACUGUUUUAUUUUUCUCAAGUUUAUUAAAAUAAUGAGGAACAAAUCUUACAAAUUAAAAGGUUGAAUGAGAAUGAAAUUAAAAAAAAAAAAUUUAUAAAUUAGCUCAAAUAAAUUAAUAAUAAUCAAAAUAAUAGAGAUCAAAUCUUAAAAAAAAAAUGAAAGAUGAAGAAAUUAAAAUAACAAUAAUUAACAUUUCAUAAAUUAUGUCAAAUAAAAUAAGUAACAAUCAAAAGAAUAAAGAUCAAAUUUGAUAUAAUAAGCAAAUAAUAUGACAUUUCUAAAUUUUUUACAACUUUCAGAAAGUGUUUUCCGUCCAAAUUUUCCAGAAAAACACUUUCUUGUAAACCAAGCCAAAUUUUCCUUUGACUGGAAAGUGUUUUUCAUUGACUAACUUUUCUAAUGACAAACAAACACAAGAAAGUUUGGAAAGUAAUUUCUCGAAAAUCACUUUUCAGGAAACAAACAUGGCCUAAGUUUCAGUGUAUUAUUAUCUCAGUAGUUGUUUUUUACUUGAAAAUAUAUUAAAAUAAUAUUUUGUAUUGUUUUAAAAUUUAUUUUUAAUAUUAAUACGCUUUAAAAUUACAAAAAAAAACUUGAAACUAAUAUAUAUAUAUAUAUAUAUAUAUAUAUAUUAUUUUAAAAAUAUUUUUAAAAUACAAAAACAAAUAUAUUUUUAAAAUUUUAUUAUGAACAGGUUCAAGUUUGACUAAACUAAUGUUUCGUACCGUCCAAUAACAAAUCUAACACUAAUAUAAUGGGACUGUAUGACUAGUAAUGGAAUUAAUCUGCAAAGCAUAAAUGAAAAGAAAUUAUUCGUUUUGUUGAACGUUAAAGCAGAGCUUCGUUGCAAGGACAAAGUUGCAGUCUUGUUAAAUUGAAAAAAAAUUAUUGCUUUUUUAUUAUUUGAUAAGUUAAUGUUAAAAAUUGUAAAUAAUAUUUGAUAAGUUGCAGUCUUCGCUGCAAGGAUUCCACUCGUAGCUAGACUCUUUGAAUUUUCUACUACCAUUAACAAGACUGACACUGAUGUCACUGUUUUUGCCGUAGGGAAGGCAUUGCAUGCGAUGACCAUUUCAUUUGUCUAUGUCGCUAUUAUUGUAGAAAACAAAAAAAGUAUUUCAGAAUCCUUUUUAUUUAAAAUCCUUCCAACCUCAUACCAGCCUAGUCCCAAGUUACGGAGGAAACGCUAACAGCCUAGCACUUUCCACGAAGAAUAUGAAUUUGGAAAACAAGCCGAAAGAGAGGACUUUGACUAACAGCCUCGCACUUUCCACGAAAAAUAUGAAUUUGGAAAGUAAGCCGAAAGAGAGGACUUUGUCUAACAGCUAGCACUUUCCACGAAAAAUAUGAAUUUGGAAAGUAAGCCGAAAGAGAGGACUUUGUCUGGCUCAACAUCAUAUUAUUUUAAUACCUAUUUCUGACUGAACUUUUAUAUAUAUAUAUAUAUAAUUAAAGAAACGAUUAGUGAAACCUAAAUGAUUAGACAGUCUUUUUUUUUUUUUAAAUGAAACUAUAUUAUUUUAAUUUUUUUAAAAGAAAUAUUUUGAAUGUCAUAAAUAAAAACAUUAAGAACCCUAUAGAAGAUUUGUAGAACGAACUUUGAAAGAUAUAUUAAAAAAAAAAAGUGAAAAACCAUUUUGUAAAACCUAUGACCAAGCCAAUGAAAUAAGUGGCAAGAUGCUGGUUUUUCAAAAAUUUCAUUAGUUUCAAUUUUUUAUUCGAUUGUUUUGGAAUAUUUUCAACAUUCUUCUUGUAAAAAUCUUCACUGCAACUUUUGGUCCACAAAGGGAUCGUUUGGUAGUGCGUUUCAACCUGCUUUUCGCUAAAUUUUGAUUAUUUUUUUUUUUUGCUAAAAUUGAGUUCGGUUUGUACUUUUUGGAUCGUUUUGAUCAUAGUUUUAAAACUCGGACCGGCCCGGCGGGUUGACCCGGGACCCGGCCGACCCGGGCAUGGGACCGGUCCGGGCGAAGGCCAAAACCCGCUUGGGAAUUGGCCCGGCCAGACCCGGUCGACUCGGGACCCGGUUGACCCGGCAAGACCCGGCCACAAACCCAUUGACUUUUUGUUUUUUUUUGCUAAAACGACGUCGUUUUGAUUUUUUAAAAAUAAAUUUUGACCCGGUCGAGACCCAGUGACCCGAUCAAAACCCGGAACUCGGGGCUUGGACCGGGCCGGGUCUUAAAACUAUGGUUUUGAUGUGCUGAUGUCAAAAAUGAUUUUUAAAAAAUGAAAAAACAUCAUUAGCAUGUAUUUCGACACGAAAAGCUAUUUAAAAAGCAACCGCUACCACACUGUCAAACACGCUCAAAGCAAAGGAUUCCACUCGUAGCUAGACUCUUUGAAUUUUCUACUACCAUUAACAAGACUGACACUGAUGGCACUGUUUUUUCCGUAGGGAAGACGUUGCAUGCCAUGACCAUUUCAUUUAUCUAUUUCUCUAUUAUUGUAGAAAAAAAAAAAAGUAUUUCAGAAUCCUUUUUAUUUAAAAUCCUUCCAACCUCAUACCAGCCUAGUCCCAAGUUACAGAGGAAACGCUAACAGCCUAGCACUUUCUGUUAACAUGUAAUUAGUUGAAUUAGAGGGUAGUUUUCUAUAUAUAAAAGACAUACUCUAUAGAAGUCCUGAAAGGAUAUACAUUGCAGUAUUCCUUUCAGAAUAGGAAAGAUGUAACCAACAUAUAUAUUUGCCUAUAUAAGGCAUCCCUCCACAGGAGAAGAAGAAGAUGCAGAGGAUACAUCCAACCCUAAAGCCUUAAAAGUAACAUGGUAUCAGAGCAAGGUUGAAAGCUAAAAUCUUCCUUUAACUUUUCAGCCGCCACAUUAAUCUUCUCCUGGGAAUUGGUCUUGAAACAAGAGACCAACCAUGGAUGACACAAAUACUUCUAUUAUCCCUAUAAACCAAACUUCAUUCUCUGCUGAAACACCUAACCUAAACACCUUACCCUUUGGAUUUAAAUUGAAUGAGACAAACUUCAAAAUCUGGUCACGUAUGCUUGAACUGCAUGCUGCUGGAUUGAACAAACUUGGCUACUUAACUGGGCAGAAUGCUAGAGUGGAAGAAGGAAAUUUUGGUUACUCAAAGUGGUGCACUGAAGAUGCAGUGGUACGAGGAUGGUUGUUGAAAACCAUGGAGCCUCAUCUUAUUGGUUUAUUUAUAGACCUGUCAUCAGCCAAGGAAAUCUGGGAUAGUGUCACUCAAACCUUUUAUGAUGGGGCUGACGAGUCACAAUUCUAUGAGCUACGCUGCAAAGCCACGAGGACGAAACAGAAUGGGCGUCCAGUUAACUUGUAUUACGCAGAGCUGAAUAGUGUAUGGCAGGAAAUUGAUAAGCGACGACCAAUUAAGAUGAUAUGUGCUGCAGAUCUUAGAACCAGACAAGAAGAAAUUCAAAAGGACCGGAUCUAUGACUUUCUUGCAGGUUUGGAUGAAGUUUUUGAUUCAAUACGCAGUGAUCUCCUUCGAAAAAAAUCUGUUCCAAGUAUUGAAGAGUGCUUCAAUACAAUUCGACGGGAGGCUCAGCGACAAGUCACCAUGCUGGGAGCAAAAAACACUGGUGAAGGUUCAUUAAUUGCAAUGAUUUCCAAAUCCACCACCCCUUCUAACAUGCGCACUCUUCGAGCUAUUGAGGAAGCAGAAAAAGACAAGUUGCGUUGCAGCCAUUGUAAUGGAAGUCGCAAUACCAGAGACACUUGUUUUGAGAUUCAUGGCUACCCUGACUGGUUUCUAGAAAAACGGAAGCAAAGUAAAGCAAGAAGUAAUAAACGUCCAGUCCAAGCAAAAUUAACCACUGCAACAAAAAUUCCUUCCAGUUUUGCUGCCAUGGCAAUAAGCAAAAAAAGACCACACUAAACCGGAUGAAUUACUCUCCUUAGCGAAAACUGACCAGACUUCAGCGACAGGUAAAACUGGAGUGGUUUUGUCGACAUCCACGGUUCAUGAUACAGGUUGGAUCAUUGACUCGGGUGCCACAGAUCAUAUGACGUAUAACAAAUCAUUAUUUCAAUACAUGACUCCCCCGUCUAAGGAAAAGGUCAUGACAGCCAAUGGGGAGUCUACCCCAGUCAUUGGAGCAGGAUCAAUUGUUCUAACUCCUGAUCUUUCACUACAUAAUUGUUUACUUGUCCCUGCACUUUCAAAUCAUUUACUGUCUGUUAGUCAAAUUACAGAAGAAUUGGAUUGUGUGGUAUUAAUGUUUCCCACGUUUUGCUUACUUCAGGAUAUCCGGACUCAAGCGAUCAUUGGACGUGGUACUAAGAGGAAGGGGUUAUACUAUGUAGAUGACGUAGCUUCAGGUCACGUCCAUCAAGUUCAGAGUCACAAUGGUAAUAAUCACAAGAAAAUUUGGUUAUGGCAUCGUCGGCUGGGUCAUGCAUCCUUUGGCUACUUAAAAAAAUUAUUUCCUUCCCUCUUUGAUGACAUUCCGGAUCCAAGUUCCUCUCUUAAGUGUAAUGUUUGCAUCUUGGCCAAGAGCCAUCGAACUUCAUAUCCUGUAAACUUGAAUAAAAGAACAAAGCCUUUUGAAUUGAUCCACUCUGAUGUUUGGGGACCUGCUCCAAUUACUUCCCAAUCUGGAAUUCGAUGGUUUCUUACAUUUGUCGAUGAUUGCACCAGAAUGACUUGGUUAUAUACUAUGCGACACAAGAGUGAUGUGCGUAAUAUAUUCCCAAUUUUUUAUCGCAUGGUGUGCACUCAGUUCUCCCUGCCGGUGAAGAUUAUUCGAUCAGACAAUGGUGGAGAAUAUCUUAACUCUGAACUCUUGAGUUUCUUUCAAAACAAUGGUAUUCUCCAUGAGACUACUUGCCCGCGCACUCCACAACAAAAUGGUGUGGCAGAACGCAAAAACAGGCAUAUUCUUGAAACUACUAGAGCUCUUCUCAUUGGUGCCCAUGUCCCUCAACAUUAUUGGGUUGAUGCAGUAACCUAUGCUGUGUAUCUCAUCAACCGGAUGCCAUCCCAAGUCCUCUCCUUCAGCACUCCCUUGCAGACUCUCACUCAACACAUUCAGAUUCCAUCCCUCCUACACUUAGAACCCCGUGUGUUUGGAUGUGUAGCUUAUGUUCACCUGCAGAAAACUCAGCGCACAAAACUGGAACCAUGCGCAGUACGGUGUGUCUUUCUUGGUUUCAAUCCUCACCAAAAGGGAUACCGGUGCUACCAUCCUUCUUCUCGCCAGAUGCAUGUCAGUAUGGAUGUUACCUUCUCUGAAACAGAAUAUUUUUUCCAUAUGAAUCCAUCCAGCUCUAGUCCUCAGGGGGAGCUGCAAUAUGAUGCCUACAACUGGAUUGAUCUUCAGUUGAUUCAGGGAAGGAAACACAGAUUCAGGGGAAGGAAAUACGGAGCAGCAGCAGUCAACUUCAGGGGAAGAAAUGGAAACCAGUACACACACAAUUAGUAAUGUUGGGGAAGGAAAUACAGAGCCCAGCUCCAGAACAACUGCAACGGGCAAUGCAGGGAAAGAACACAUAGAGUACAAUACACAUAGCAGCAGUGAUGCAGAAGAAGAAUACAUGCAUGAUGAAAUAACCCCUUCCUCUCCACAAAUCCAUGUUCAAGAUCGAUCGGAUAUCCAUGAGGUAAGUGACACUGAAAGCCCUUCCUCUUUCCCUUUAUUAUCUGCCCCAUGCUACUCUCCCUCCUAGACAGACAGAACCGUGGAAAGGCCCCUGACAGGUACUCACCGAAUGGAAAAGCAAAAUAUGCAAUCACACAGUAUGUCUCUACACACAAACUACCUCCACAGCAUCAAGCCUUCAUAAGUGAGAUGGCGAAUAUAAGAAUACCUACAAAGGUUGAGGAUGCCUUACAACACCCGAAAUGGGCAGAAGCAAUGGAGGCUGAAAUGAGUGCAUUACAAAGAAAUGACACAUGGAGUAUUGUAUCACUCCCUCCAGGAAAAAAACCAGUGGGCUGCAAGUGGAUAUUCAACCUCAAACAUAGAGCAGACGGCACAAUUGAUCGGUUCAAGGCAAGGCUAGUAGCAAAGGGGUACACACAAUCAUUCGGCAUUGACUAUCAAGAAACUUUUGCUCCAGUUGCAAAAAUGAACACCAUCAGAGUCUUGUUGUCUUUAGCAGCAAAUUUCAGUUGGCCUUUGAAGCAAUUUGAUGUGAAAAAUGCAUUUCUCCAUGGGGAUCUGGAAGAAGAAGUCUAUAUGCAACUUCCACCUGGGUUUAACAGCUCACAAUCUAGUGGAAAAGUGUGUAGAUUACGAAAAGCAUUGUAUGGCUUGAAGCAAUCGCCAAGAGCAUGGUUUGGGAGAUUCACAGAAGCUAUGAAACGAAUUGGUUAUCACCAAGGUAACUCUGAUCACACUCUAUUCAUCAAACAGAAGAAUGGUAAAGUUACACUGCUCAUUAUUUAUGUAGACGAUAUGAUCGUAACUGGUGAUGACACAGAUGAAAUAAAAAAGCUACAAGAAUGUUUGUCUACCGAAUUCGAAAUGAAAGAUUUAGGAGGACUGAAAUAUUUUUUGGGAAUUGAAGUUGCAAGAACUAAAGAUGGUAUAUACUUGUCACAACGAAAGUAUAUACUGGACCUAUUAUCUGAAACGGGUAUGCUAGAAUGCAAACCAGUAGAGUCUCCUAUUGUUCAAAAUCAUCGAUUGGCCAUUCACCCAGAUCAGGUACCAACAAACAAAGAAAGAUACCAGCGAUUGGUAGGGCGGUUAAUUUAUUUAUCUCACACUCGCCCAGACAUUGCCUAUGCGGUUAGUGUGGUAAGUCAGUUUAUGCAUGCUCCAAGUGAAGAUCAUAUGACAGCUGUAAUGAGAAUUCUGAGUUAUCUAAAAGGGGCUCCAGGAAAAGGAUUGACAUUUAAAAGACAUGGAACUAUGGAAGUGAAAGGAUUUACUGAUGCAGAUUGGGCAGGAAAUCUCACUGACCGGAGAUCCACCUCUGGCUAUUUUACAUUUGUUGCAGGAAAUCUUGUCACAUGGCGAAGUAAAAAACAAAAUGUGACAGCAAGGUCCUCAGCAGAAGCAGAAUAUAGAGGGAUGGUACAUGGAAUAUGCGAACUGUUAUGGCUCGGGACCUUACUCACAGAAAUAGGUUUUGAACCCAAAGACCCUAUGUUACUAUACUGUGACAAUCAGGCAGCACGAGAGAUAGCUAAUAAUCCAGUACAGCAUGAUCGAACUAAACACAUUGAGGUAGAUCGACACUUCAUCAAGGAAAAGUUACUUCUAAAGUUAGUGGACAUCCCUUUCGUCAGAUCAAGUGAGCAACUAGCAGAUAUUCUAACCCAUGCAGUCCCUGCAGAAGCUCUUCAUAAGUCUCUAGACAAGUUAGGCUUAGAAGAUAUCUUCGCACCAACUUGAGGGGAAGUGUUAACAUGUAAUUAGCUGAAUUAGAGGGUGGUUUUCUAUAUAUAAAAGACAUACUUUAUAGGAGUCUUUAAAGGAUAUACAUUGCAGUAUUCCUUUCAGAAUAGGAAAGAUGUAACCGACAUAUAUAUUUGCCUAUAUAAGGCAUCCCUCCACAGGAGAAGAAGAAGAUGCAGAGGAUACAUCCAACCCUAAAGCCUUAAAAGUAACACUUUCCACGAAGAAUAUGAAUUUGGAAAAUAAGCCGAAAGAGAGGACUUUGUCUAUGGCCCGUGGAAAAUUAUGACAUUUGAUUGUGAUAUUGCAAAUUGCAGUCCAACGAUCUUAUUUAUAAAGAGAAAUAAUCAAGUUUUUAUAAGUUAAAGCCUCUACUUGGCUAGGCUUUUCUACCUCAAUUUACUUCAUUUCAUUUAGUGUGAGAGAAAUAAAAGUUUUUCAUAAGAUUUAUUGAUCUCAUCGGGAUGUUUGCAAGAAUAUUUUUUAUUUCAUUCAAUCCUGUUUGAUAGAGCUCGAAUCAAGUUUCAUAUCCUAGCUACUUUCAGGUCCAUUUGGUGUCUUUGACAGUCAUGAAAUAUAAUUAUUCUUGCUAAUUUCAAGAUUUUGUUUAACAUAGUUUUAUAUGUAAUCAACCGGUCAAUUGACUCAUCUACUAUUUAUCUUCACAAUCUAUUUUUGUUUUUUUUUCAGUUUUUUUUAGCUUUUGCUUUGUUUUUUUGUUAUUUUUUGUCAAGUAGACUGGGUAGCAAGCAUUUAUACUUCUUGAGGUAUGCUCCUCGUGCUCUAUAUAGUUUCUUCCAUUUAAUACAAUAACUUUUAUCCGAAAAUAAAGAAACAAUUUUGUUUUGCUAUACAUUGCAAGUUUUAAUGUCUAUUUAAUAUGUAUGCUAUGAUUUUAUUUUGAUGAAGAUGAACUUAAUUAUAUAAAAAUGCAAGCAAUCUAAACUAAAUUAUAGAUCGAUAACAACAGUUAUCCAAUUCAAAAAAACCACUCAAAGAUUUGAGCUGAACCAUUACACUAAUGCAAAAUUAUUCAUCAAAGAAAUUUAGAAGUGCAUUUUCAAGGAAACCAAAAAUAAUGGAUACAUGAACCUUGUUCGGUAUACUUCUAGCUAAAACAGGAUAUCAAUCAUCGAUAACUAUCCUCCUCGGUUGCAUUUUAGCUGUCAUAUGGAGAGGAAAACUUUAUCAUCAUAACUAGUAUUAACAUGAAUUAGAUGACUGUUGAUUUCCUGGGUUGGCACUCAAACUUGCAGCGCAUUGUGCAAAUUCUAAAAAAGUGAAUUUACAUAGCCGGAAUAUCUACAAUGUCAUGUGCUUAAGGAGAAUGGCUUCCCAUGGCCUCAACUUAUCAUAUUCCACUUCGAGCAGCUUAGUGAUUUGAAGUUUGAGGAAGCCUGAAAGAACCCCCGGCAUAAAGCAUCUCAUAGACAGGCCUUAUCCUCAUAGUUAGAACUAGUUAUAUGCCCCACGCGACGCCGCGAGUCAAUUAUUUUUUGUAUUUCAAAAAUAGUUAAGAUCUAAAAAUAUUAGGUUUUUUUGCAAAGUUAUACCUAGUAAAACGCAGUGCAGUUCACAGCAAAACACUGAUUCCUUUUAGGUAUAUAUAAUAAUAAUAAUAAUAAUAAUAAUAAUGCUCACGAUGGAGCCCAAACCGCAGGCACCAGCCAGAACCAAGAAGGUGAGCCAUGAUAGCUGAGAAGGAUUAGAAUGGUGAAGGUUAUUCCGCACGGCGACUCUCUACAAAUCUGUCUCCAAGAGCAUGAUUAUUUGCACUUUUGCUAUUUGAUAACAAUAUCAAAGAAGGGAGACAUGAUAGCUGAGAAGGAUUAGAAUGGUGAAGGUUUUGAAAAAAAAUGAAAGAAAGAGUGAAAUUAAUUGAAAUCUUGUUUUCAUUUAACUAUAUUAUUUAAAUUAAUUUGAAUCUUGAUUUUUAUUUAAAUAUAUUAUUAACAAAUAAAAAGACGAUGUUGCUAAGUUAGAAUUGACAUUGGUAGGAUUUGAGAGUUUCUUGAUAAAUAACCUUCUCAAGUUUCACCUGACCCACAAUCCAAGAUUUGCUCCAGAUCAACCUUGGAUAGGGUUCAAAAACCAUGGUGAAAAGUAAAAGGAACGUAACAGAGAGACGAGAGUCAUGUAUGUUACCAGCCAUUGAAUUAAUAUUGAUGUAAAACAAAAACUUGGGAAUUUCCUCGAAGAAUAAACGGGACAAUAAGCCAAAUAAAGAAGAAUGAAUGCAGCAACCUUCUUCUUUGUCAUAGCGUGUAAUUUUCCUCAACCACUAACAAGGCUGACAGCCACUGCAUUAUUUUCGGCCGUAGAGAACACGUCGCGCGCGAUGACCAGUUCAUCUGUCUCUUGUAAAAACUAAGAGUAAAAUGCAAGAUUUUUCAAUGUGUUCUUCAGCGGUCCCCAGAUCUUGGGGUCGGGGUUUCAUCAAUCAACCUGUGGGUUGUAUUAUAAUAGCUUGUUGACAAAUUGGUCUCUCUGUUUUAAAUGCAAAAACAAACAUGUUUUUAAUAGCUGCGGUUAAUUCUUUUUUUAAAUUUUUAUUAUAAAUCGUUGCAAGUUUGACAGAUCUAAUAUUUCAAACCGUCCAAUAACAAAUCUAACAGUAAUAUAAUGGGACUAUAUGACUAGUAAAGGAACUAAUCUACAAAGCAUAAAUGAAAAGAAAUGAUUCGUUCUGUUGCAACUUUGCUCGGUAGAAAUGUUAGAAAAAAAGCAGAGCUGGGCUGCAAGGACAAAGUUGCAGUCUUGUUAAAUUGAAAACAUUUUAUUGCUUUUUUUAUUAUUUGAUAAGUUAAUGUUAAAAAUUUUAAACAAUACUUUAAUAUGUUUUCAAGUAAAAAAAUUUACACCAUAAUAUCAUACAUUUAUUUUAUAUUAAAAUACAAUAUUAAUUAACUAAUUAUAUUAUUAUUAUUAAAUUCAAUUUGACUCAAGAUCAUAUUAUUUUAUUAUUAUUAUUUGAUAAGUUAGUAUUGAAAAUAUAAAAAAUUAAAAAAAUAUUUUAAUAUAUUUUUAAGUAAAAAACAUUUACAUCAUAAUAUCAAACAUGCAUUUUAUAUUAAAAUACAAUAUUAACUAGCUGAUUAUAUUAUUAUUAUUAUUAUUAUUAAAUUCAAUUUGGCUCAACAUCAUAUUAUUUUAAUACCUAUUUCUGACUGAACUUUUAUAUAUAUAUAAAAAGAAACGAUUAGUGAAACCUAAAUGAUUAGACAGUCUUUUUUUUUUUUUAAAUGAAACUAUAUUAUUUUAAUUUUUUUAAAAGAAAUAUUUUGAAUGUCGUAAAUAAAAACAUUAAGAACCCUAUAGAAGAUUUGUAGAACGAACUUUGAAAGAUAUAUUAAAAAAAGAAAAGUGAAAAACCAUUUUGUAAAACCUAUGACCAAGCCAAUGAAAUAAGUGGCAAGAUGCUGGUUUUUCAAAAAUUUCAUUAGUUUUCAAUUUUUUAUUCGAUUUUUUUGGAAUAUUUUCAACAUUCCUCUUGUAAAAAUCUUCGCUGCAGCUUUUGGGGAGUGGUGGUCCACAAAGCAAAGGAUUCCACUCGUAGCUAGACUCUUUGAAUUUUCUACUACCAUUAACAAGACUGACACUGAUGGCACUGUUUUUUCCGUAGGGAAGACGUUGCAUGCGAUGACCAUUUCAUUUGUCUAUUUCUCUAUUAUUGUAGAAAAUAAAAAAAAAGUAUUUCAGAAUCCUUUUUAUUUAAAAUCCUUCCAACCUCAUACCAGCCUAGUCCCAAGUUACGGAGGAAACGCUAACAGCCUAGCACUUUCCACGAAGAAUAUGAAUUUGGAAAAUAAGCCGAAAGAGAGGACUUUGUCUAACAGCCUUUUAAUUGUGAUAUUGCAAAUUGCAAUCCAACGAUCUUAUUUAUAAAGAGCCUCUGACCGUUGUUUUUCGAUACAUAAUUUCAUCGAGGAGUCCAAAUGGGUUUAAACAGGUUCUCUUCUUUAGCAGGGACACUGAUGAUUUAUGCUAUGGUUUUGUCAGAAAGCUGGUGGUCAUGUCACGGGUGCUUAGACGAAGAGACAAGUGCUCUCUUGCGGAUUAAAAGCUCCUUUAGUUACCCAAGCGGCACAUUCCUUCAAUCUUGGGGAAAAGUAGCCGACUGUUGUUCUUGGAAAGGCGUUGACUGCAAUUUCACUACAGGACGAGUUGUCGAACUUGAUCUUCCAGGCAUAAGGGAAGAGGGAUUGGGAGAUUUGUACCUAAAUGUCUCUUUGUUUCGUCCCUUCCAAGAACUGCAAUCUCUUUAUUUAAGUCGAAAUUUUAUAGUUGGCUGUGUUGAGAAUGAAGGUUUAUCUCUUGUUUGCGUGCUACUGCAAUUUCAACAGCAAAAAGAAAGAGAAUAGAUUCUAUAUUUUUCAAGCUACUGAUUGAAAUGCCCAUGCAGGUUUUGAAAGACUAUCCGGACUUGACAGCUUGGAGAUUCUCAAUUUAGACUUUAACAAAUUCGACAACAGCAUACUUUCAUCCCUUGGUGGGCUUUCCUCUUUGAGAAUCCUGUCUCUAUAUGGUAACCAACUCAAAGGAGCAAUUAGUGUUGAUGGUAAUUAAGCUUGAUCACUUCUCUCCUUUUCUUUCUCAAAUAAAACCAUGUUAAUUACUGCCCUUUUUUAAUUGUUGUACUUGGUACAAUUAUAUUUGGCCAGAACUGAAUAAUCUAACAAGCUUGCGGUCGUUGGAUUUUGGUGGCAAUGAAAUUGAAAGCUUUAAAUCCAUUCAUGGUAUGAAAGAGUUGUGAGUUGAUUGAGCAUUUGUUUUCACACAUAAGUACUCCAUUAUCCUUUCAGGUUACAUGAAAGCUUAUGGUAUUUUUAUAGGUACUGGUGACGACUUACUGAGGUUAAGAAAUCUGGAAGAACUUUUUUUGGAUUAUAAUCGCUUUAAUGACAGUGCCUUAUCAUCCCUCAAGGGUCUUUCAUCUCUCAAAUCCCUGGAUAUAGGGUACAACCAACUGAAAGGAUCAUUCAAUGUGACUGGUAACCUCACCUUUUUCGAUUCCUAGAAACCAAUCUAUGAUUUUUGCUGUGAUGUAAUAUUAAAUUUCUGUUUUUCGACAACCUAGAGCUGGAUGCUUUGAUCAACUUAGAGAGCCUGGAUCUAGCGGGAACAAGAUUGACGAAUUUGUGUUAUCCAAAGGUAUUGAUUGCUUUCCACACUGAUUGAUGGUAGCUUUACCUUUAUCAACCUAAAAUCUCAUUAAUUGAAUUGUAUUUUCGAGGAUGAUUUUGCUCAGAAUAAAAGCUCAGAAAGGUUUUAAAAUUUGUUUUACUUCUGCUGUCCCCUGCAGAUACUAGAGGUUUUGGAAAUGUAAGCCUCAUUUCAUUAUCUAAUAGCACCUUAAAUGGAAGAGCUCUUCCAUUUGCAUUGCUGCAAUCGUUGACGAAAUUCCCAAACCUCAAGACCCUUUAUUUGGAUGAGAAUAAUCUUGAAGGAAGUUUCGGAACAACAUUAGAUAAAGGUAAUUUGUGGUACUGAUGCCUAAAAGCGAUCCUGAAUAUCUGUUAAUUGUUCUUUUUUUCUUUGUAAACGUGCUUUAAAUCAUCUUUUCCUAGUUAUAGGAAUUUAAUUGAUUGUAGCGGGGACAUUAUAAUGGAGCUUCUUGUUGGUUUUAUCAUCUUGUUUCCUUAUCAUUAUCCGGCUCUUGAAUACCGAGCAUAAUUUCUUGUGGGUUUGAUUAUUGUAGACUUGGCUUCUCUCAAGAAUUUAGAAGAGUUGGAUUUGAGUUCCUCCACUGUCGAUAAUAGCUUUCUGCAAACAGUUGGGAAGAUUACUACUCUAAAGAGUUUAAGAUUGGAUGACUGUCGACUCAAUGGCUCCAUCCCUAAAGCCAAAGGUAAGUCUGACCACCUCUCCCCUCCUUAGGCGUUCUGCUUCUUCUCUGACUAAAAUUUUUAUGAAUCAAUAAAUUCUCAGGCCUAUGUCAGUUAAAGCAUCUCCAAAAUCUAUAUAUCAGGUGGAAUGAUCUCAGUGGUGCUUUGCCCUGGUGUUUGGCAAAUUUGACAUCCCUUCAAGGAUUAUAUUUGUCUAACAAUAACUUUAUUGGAGACAUUUCCUUCUCUCCUCUUACAAGUCUCACAUCCAUCCGAGAGUUAUCACUUUCAGACAACCACUUUCAGAUCCCUGUCUCAUUGAGCUCAUUUCUCAACCAUUCACAACUCAAGGAUUUCGAUGGUAGGAAUAACAAAAUAUAUGUUGAAGAAUUAGAGGAGCAUAAUUUGGCCCCAAAGUUCCAAUUAGAGCGUCUUAGUUUAUCUGGCAAUGGAUAUGGUGGAGCAUUUUCCUUUCCCAAAUUCCUCCUCCAUCAAUACAGCCUCCAAGAAAUUGAUUUUUCUAACCUGAAAUUGAGGGGAAGGUUUCCUAUUUGGUUGUUAGAGAACAACACAAACCUAAAUUAUCUCCAUUUGGUCAACAAUUCUCUUUCAGGGACUUUUCAAUUGCCAAUUCAUCCUCAUCAGAAUUUGUCUGAAUUAGAUAUUUCUAACAAUAACUUCGAAAGCCACAUUCCUAGAGAAAUAGGAUCAUAUUUUCCAAGUUUAACAUUUUUAUCCAUGUCUGAUAACCACUUCAGUGGUCGCGUUCCCUCUUCAUUUGACUUUCUGUUGUAUCUUCAAGUUUUGGACCUCUCAAAUAACAACAUCUCUGGAACCUUACCAUCUUUCUUUAACUCUUCAAACCUCCUGCAUGUUUAUAUGUCACGAAAUAUGCUACAAGGAUCCCUCGAACAUGCAUUUCAGAAAUCCUUUGAGCUAAUAACGUUGGAUCUUAGCCAUAAUCAUUUGACUGGUAGCAUUCCAAAAUGGAUUGGUGAGUUUUCCCAACUGAGCUUUCUUCUCUUGGGUUAUAAUAAUCUUGAUGGCAGUAUACCCACGCAAUUGUGCAAGUUGAACGAAUUAAGCUUCAUUGAUCUUUCUCAUAAUAAUUUUUCUGGUCAUAUUCUACCUUGCCUAAGAUUUAAAAGCAUUAUUUGGUUCAUCUCCAAAAGAUAUCUUUAUGUUGAUCUUCUAGAACCAUUGGUUAGUGCAACAAAGAGUCUGUCUAUCUUAUCCGCCAGUAUUUUGUACUACAUGACCGGAUUGGAUCUCUCCUGCAACAGUUUGUCAGGUGUGAUUCCUCUGAAAUUGGGAAUCUCAACCACAUUCAUGUAUUGAACCUGUCCAACAAUCAUUUAAUAGGCCCAAUCCCACAAACUCUUUCAAAUUUGAGUGAAGUUGAGAGCUUGGACCUUUCCAAUAACAGCUUGAAUGGGGAAAUCCCUCCUCAACUUGUACAAUUGCAUUUCUUGCCUAUUUUAGUGUAGCCACAAUAACCUGUCUGGUAAGACUCCUGAGAUGGUUGCACAAUUCUCAACAUUCAAUAAGAGCAGCUACGAGGGAAAUCCCUUACUUUGUGGACCACCACUACUUAACAGUUGCACCAAAGAAGUACCACCACCACCACCACCUGGGCCUUCUACUGAUGAGAAAGAAGAGAGUAGUGUCAUCAUUGAUGCACAAGUUUUCUGUGUGAGCUUUGUUGUGACGUACAUCAUGGUGCUGUUGGAAUAGCUGCAGUUUUGUACAUAAACCCAGACUGCGGCGAGCAUGGUUUUAUUUCAUUGAGAAGAGCAUCAACACUUGCUACUACUUUGUUGCGGACAAUCUUCUUAAGCCAUUCGAAUUAGAGUUUGGAAGCCUUUGGUAUAAUAAAUCUCAAUUUUGCAUUGUUUCUACAUUUCAAAGGGAAGAUUUAAAUGGUCGGUCUUAUCUCAUCUCAGUAGUAUAAAGAAUGUCUGAAAAGCUGUGUUCUUUAUAGCAAUGUAAUGAAGAAAAUCAUUUCUUCACAAUUUUGCUUUCAGAAAAUUGAAAAUAUUAAAAGUUUGAUGAUGGAAAAGAAUCAUUGUUCAAAAUAAACAACGCAGUUUCAUAAUAACUAUUUUUUAAAAUAGUGAAUGUCAAAUAUGUUUCAGUUGUUGUUAUUACUAUUACUAUUAUAUAUAAGGGAAGAUUUAUUGAAAUCCAAUUUUUCAGAAAUAUAAUUAAAGAUAUGCACAUUAUAAGAAUUAUAUAAGGAGCAUUUUACGAGAAACAAUAAAAAAGAAAGUAUUUUUGGUAUUUUCAUAUUAUUUUGAUAUGCUAAUAUAAAAAAUAUAUAUUAUUAUAAUAUAUUUUUAAAUAAAAAAUAUUUUAAAAAAUAAUCAUUAAUACACUUUUAAAUACCAUAAUAAUUUAUAGCAUUAUAACUUUGUUUGAGGAAGGGCAAUUAUUUAAAAAUAUUAAAUUGAAAGGCCAAAUAGAUUACUCAUCAUUGGGUUCAUGAUCCCCAAGCCACUCAUAUAUUUCCAAUGUUUUGGUGGACUUCUUUUGAAACUUCAAUGAAUGAAAGGACCCUUUCAGAACUUGGAGGGUUUAAAAUUUUAGCAUGUUAGCAUUUUGUUUUCGUCUACAUUGCAAGUUUUAAUAUCUAUUUAGUAUGAAUUUAAUUAUAUAAAAUUGCCUUGACUCGAAGUCAGCUGAGGAAGUCUAAACCAUCUUUUUUUCAGCAGUCUUCUUAGAUGGCUUUACUGGGUUCUUAAUACACAUGACGAAGAACACACAAUCAUGACGAAGAACACGCGAUGAAUGAAUGCAGCAACCUUCUUCUUCGUCAUAGCGUGUAAUUUUCCACAACCACAAACAAGACUGACAGCCACUGUAUUAUUUUCGGCCGUAGGGAACACGCCGCACGCGAUGACCAGUUCAUCUGUCUCUUGUAAAAUGUAGCAAUAAAAUGCAAGAUUUCUCAAGGUGUUCUUCAGCGGUCCCCAAAUCUUAGGGUCAGGGUUUCAAUCAAUUAACCUGUGGGUUCUAUUAUUAUAGCUUGUUGGCAAAUUGGUCUCUCUGUUUUUAGUUUUUAAAAAAUACAAAAACAAACAUGCUUUUAAUAGCCACAAUGAAUGCUUUUUAAAAUUUUUAUUAUGAAUUGGUUCAAGUUUGACUAAACUAAUGUUUCAUACCGUCCACUAACAAAUCUAACACUAAUCUAACAAAUCUUGAAACAAGAAAAUUUAAAAUCCUAUAUGAAUGGAAUUGUUGAUUUGUAGGAUAAUUUUGAUAUCUCCAAGAGCAUGAUUAUUUGCACUUCUGCUAUUUGAUAACAAUAUCAAAGAAGGGGGACAUGAUAGCUGAGAAGGAUUAGAAUGGUGAAGGUUUUGAAAAAAAAAAUGAAAGAAAGAGUGAAAUUAAUUGAAAUCUUGUUUUCAUUUAACUAUAUUAUUUAAAUUAAUUUGAAUCUUGAUUUUUAUUUAAAUAUAUUAUUAACAAAUAAAAAGACGAUGUUGCCAAGUUAGAAUUGACACUGGUAGGAUUUGAGAAUUUCUUGAUAAAUAACCUUCUCAAGUUUCACCUGACCCACAAUCCAGGAUUUGCUCCAGAUCAACCUUGGAUAGGGUUCAGAAACCAUGGUGAAAAUUUAAAGGAACGUAACGGCCAUUGAAUUAAUAUUGAUGUAAAGCAAAAACUUGGGAAUUUCCUCGAAGAAUCAAUGGGACAAUAAGCCAAAUAAAGAAGACUUUAUUACAUAUGGAAAAUCAUGUGAUGACGACGACCAAUUCCAUCCAAACCACAGGAUCGAUAGCGUGGAAUUGAAUUCCAGUGCCAUACAAGUGGGCUGUUUAUUACAAUUCAUGAACGAACACUUUCUCGACUUUUUCAUUGUAAAAGACAACAGUAAACUAAAUCGAUCUGCUACUACAGCAACAACAAUCAUAAGAUCGAGUGUGUUGAUUCGUCUUGUAGUAUAAAGAGCAGCUUGUACAAAGCCAGUGGUAUACAAUUUAAUUCAUCAAGUAUUUCAAAUGGGUUAAGCAGGUUCUCUAUAGUAGUGAUAAAGCUGAUCUUCAUGGUUUUAUUACCAGGGCGGUGGUGUCAUUUGUGUUUGGAGGAAGAGAGAAUUGCUCCAUUGGAAAUAAAAAAUUUCCUUUUACGCAUUUACGCACAAAUCUUCCAAUUCCCAACCCCUUGUUAACGAAAGAUCGAGCGUGUUGAUUCGUCUUGUAGUAUGAGCAGCUUGAACAAAGCCAGCGGUAUAUUUGUAUACAACCAAAAUUCCUCUAACUACCCAAACGGCGGCGAACACCUGCAAUCUUGGGGAAAAGAAGCCGGCUGUUGUAAUAGGGAAG
rnacentral:lncRNA from 1 species